UUAUCUAUUUUUAUUAGUGUUGUCAAUUGUGUAGGGAUAGGGAACCACCACUCCACCUAAAUCGAUGGAGCCCCUGAUGCAGGGAGCAAGUGAAGAUCCUCUCGCCGGGAAGGCAGAGCCCAGAACAGGCGGAUUCCUGGCACACUCACUGACACGCACACCCUGCACUGACAGCAGCAUCCUGGCCAGCUGUCUGGCUGCAGCCAGCCCUUUGGCUAAGGGUGUGAGCUCCGUUAUGUCUCCCAUGUGGCUUCGCCUCUGCCACGUUGGAUAGAUAUCAAUGUCAGACAGGACUAGAAGCUCAGAAAGAAAUCUGAAUAUUCGUGGCUUCACAGGGGAGACCUGAGUGUGUCUCUGUGCCUGGGCUGAAGGGCACCACCCCGCUCUAGGAUGACACCAGGCGGAAGCUGUUCGUAGCUUUACAGUUGUGAACCCUCUGACACUUCCCUGGUCCAUCCGUGAUAGAUGCAUGACACAGGUCACUUGUGACACAGGUCGCUGGGAACUAGGGAGACCAUUGGUACAGGUACUGCUGGCACAUUUCAGGUUCUUAAUGAAGGAAAUCUUCAGAGUCUCAUGAAAGCACCUAUGACACAGGCAGCUUCAAAUCAUCUUGACCCAGUCAGGCUAACGUGCAAACUGCUCAUUGUGCAGGAGUCUUGCAAGCGCCUAGUAGAGACCUUGGAAACACUAACUGGUGAUCCACGAAAUCCAUACCAGCUAUUUCAAGUCAACUAUAACUAGUAAUAAUUACAUGAAAAGCAAGAAAUCUUAGAUGGAUACCAACAAAGGAAACUAGGAACUGAGCGACUGUUGUUCUUCAAAGUAAGACAUUUGAAAACUUGGAAGGCUACACAUUUACCCCAGUGAGGCUAAUAAAAUACAAAUAAUAGAAGCUAAUAGGUACCACGGUUCCCUGCUUCGUUGCAAUUUUACUUCCCAUGGCUUCAGUUACUCAUAUUAAAUAUUAAAUCAGAAAUUCCAGAGUCAAACACCUCAUCAUUUUAAACUGCAUGCCAUUCUGAGAGUGCGACGCAAUCUCAAUGUUGGACCUUCCUGUCUGGAUAUGCUCGCAUCAUCCUGUUGCCCUAGGUAACCUGUGUUGUAUACUCUAUCUCCUCUUCAUCACUGAGCUGUCUUGGCGAUCACAGGGGUCUAUUUGACACAGUACUGUCCCCAAAGCAUAACAGUAGCAGUGCUGGCAAUUUGGGUGUGGCAAGGGGAAGCCAUAAAGUGCUUCUGUUUUGGUGAAAAGUAAAAGGUCUUGUCUUCAUAAGGUUGCCAAUUUUCCUGUUGCUGGAACAAAAUGCCUAACACCUGUACCUUCACCAAGGCCUCUAGGUUCAGAGGUUUCGGUCCAUGGUCAUCUUGCUCCAAGGUAGAGACAUCAUAGCAGGAGGACGUGGUGGGAGAGAGCUACUCACUUCCUGGCCGCAGGAAGUCGAGGGCCUUAGAAAGAAAAAGAGAAGGGGCUGUGGGCCUAAGGCCGUGACCCACUUCCUCCAACGAGACCCCACCUUCUAUGGCCAUUCAACCACGAACCCACCAAUGAGGACCAUCCAAGUACCUCUCCAGAAGUCUUUAUAUCCAGGCAAGUUGACAGUUGAUUGACAUAUUACAAAAUUUUGGUAUGGAUGUUGCUAAGAUUUACCGUAAGAAUGGAUCUUUUAGCCAUGAAAUUAUGAAGGAGGACAAAGAAAUUCAUGCUGCUUUGGUUGUCACAUCUCAAAGUGAAAAAGUUAGGACUACAGGUCAUGGUUCAUGCUUAACACAAAGCAUUUCUAGAUAAGCUGGAAAAGACACUGCGUUCCACACUAUCUGCAGCUUCCAGCAUCCGCUGCCGGGGUAGGGGGGGAUCAGGCGGGGUAGGAGGAGACCUUAGGAUGUAUCCGUGAGGAUAAGAGAGCAACUUCUGCAUUAAGAACUUACCAUGUACCACCGUCUGCAUUGGGUUUGCUCUCCCAACAAACCUGUAAGUCUGGUACUGUUUUAUCAAUGCGGAAACAAAAGCCAGGAAGGAAGGUUAACGUUGAAAUGUUCAAAUGCAUAUACCAAAGUAUUCUUCCUCCUCCUCCACCCUUCCCCUUCUUUCCCAUCUGCUCCUUUUCCUUCUUUACACUGGGCCUUCCCCCAGGCCUUAGCACUGAGCUGAAAAGAUCAGACUCAAACUUGCCAUCCUCCUGCCGAAGGCUCUCAGAGUCCUGGGAUCCAAGGUGCGCGCUAUCACACUGGCUCCCAGUUCUCUUUGACUGUUAAGGGACUCUGCUGAGCUCAUGCCUGGCCCUUUUGGUUCUAAAUACCUUACUGAUUAUGCUGCUCCAUCCUGCCUCCCAGUUCAGCUGGGAAUGGAAAAUAUAGGGACAGGCACACGCAGGGUGGAAAGGACAAAACGCAAGCUUGAACACUGCAGGGCCAAGCCGUUGGACAGAGAUAAAGAAACAUCAGCGUACAGCAUCUGGGGCCUUGGAGACAUGUGUGGUGGCUGCCCAUCACUUGGUGCAAUAUUCUGGCAAGAACCAGGGUUUGUGUUUCGUCUCCGAGGUGGCGCCUGUCUGCGGUUACACCACGGCUCAUUGACCUGGGCACUGAGCAGUCUUUCUUGAGUCUGGGAUGAAAAGAGCCAUAUGAAUGGAACUUUCAUUUACUCCCCAGCCCGCCUGCCCAUCAAGCUUGAGGGCAGAUGUGCAAAUGCCUUCUCUGUUCCCAGGGGAGCCGGAGCCAGCAAUAGCGUCCUUCGAGGAGAAUGCCUUCUUCUCCGCUUGAGUUCCCGCUCUAUCCUCUCCUGGGUCUAUGUUUAGACGGUGAUUUCCUGUGCUCUCCACCGAGAUGGUUCAGAAAUGCCUCCACUUCUCCCUGUUCUUCAUUCUCUUUCUUCUUCAGAACACUGGCUCACAGACAUGCUUAAGUAUGGCCUACUUAUUUAUUUAUUUUAAGCUUUAAAUCUACCAAAGCCUAUUGGUUGCCUUUUAAAUAAAAGUUUGACAAUC